rnacentral:rRNA from 1 species
CAGUGGGGAAUUUUCCGCAAUGGGCGAAAGCCUGACGGAGCAACGCCGCGUGAGGGAUGAAGGCCUCUGGGCUGUAAACCUCUUUUAUCAAGGAAGAAGAUCUGACGGUACUUGAUGAAUAAGCCACGGCUAAUUCCGUGCCAGCAGCCGCGGUAAUACGGGAGUGGCAAGCGUUAUCCGGAAUUAUUGGGCGUAAAGCGUCCGCAGGCGGCCCUACAAGUCUGCUGUUAAAAAGUGGAGCUUAACUCCAUCAUGGCAGUGGAAACUGUUGGGCUUGAGUGUGGUAGGGGCAGAGGGAAUUCCCGGUGUAGCGGUGAAAUGCGUAGAUAUCGGGAAGAACACCAGUGGCGAAGGCGCUCUGCUGGGCCAUCACUGACGCUCAUGGACGAAAGCCAGGGGAGCGAAAGGGAUUAGAUACCCCUGUAGUCCUGGCCGUAAACGAUGAACACUAGGUGUCGGGGGAAUCGACCCCUCCGGUGUCGUAGCCAACGCGUUAAGUGUUCCGCCUGGGGAGUACGCACGCAAGUGUG